GAUGAACGCUGGCGGCGUGCCUAAUACAUGCAAGUCGAACGCAUUGUGGUUGAAAUGAUAUGAAGAACUUGUUCAGAUUUGAUUUUCAACAUUGCAAUGAGUGGCGAACGGGUGAGUAACACGUGGGAAACCUACCUCUUAGCAGGGGAUAACAUUUGGAAACAAAUGCUAAUACCGUAUAAUAAUUAAAACCGCAUGGUUUUAGUUUAAAAGAUGGUCUUGCUAUCACUAAGAGAUGGUCCCGCGGUGUAUUAGUUAGUUGGUGAGGUAAUGGCUCACCAAGACAAUGAUACAUAGCCGAGUUGAGAGACUGACCGGCCACAAUGGGACUGAGACACGGCCCAUACUCCUACGGGAGGCAGCAGUAGGAAUCUUCCACAAUGGACGAAAGUCUGAUGGAGCAACGCCGCGUGUGUGAUGAAGGGUUUCGGCUCGUAAAACACUGUUGUAAGAGAAGAAUGACAUUGAGAGUAACUGUUCAAUGUGUGACGGUAU
rnacentral:rRNA from 1 species